GACGAACGCUGGCGGCGUGCUUAACACAUGCAAGUCGAACGAUGAAGAAGAGAAACGCGAACUUCGGUUCAAAUUUCACUUCGGAUUAGUGGCAGACGGGUGAGUAACGCGUGAGCAACCUACCUCUUACAAAGGGAUAGCCUCGGGAAACCGUGAUUAAUACCAUAUGACACAUUCAUAAGGCAUCUUAAGAAUGUUAAAGCUACGGCGGUAAGAGAUGGGCUCGCGUCCCAUUAGCUAGUUGGUGAGGUAACGGCCCACCAAGGCGACGAUGGGUAACCGGCCUGAGAGGGUGAACGGUCACAUUGGAACUGAGACACGGUCCAAACUCCUACGGGAGGCAGCAGUGGGGAAUAUUGCACAAUGGAGGGAACUCUGAUGCAGCGACGCCGCGUGAGCGAUGAAGGAAUUCGUCUCGUAAAGCUCUGUUCUAUGGGAAGAAAAGGACUGUACCAUAGGAGAAAGCCCCGGCUAAAUACGUG
rnacentral:rRNA from 1 species